GUUGAUGAUCGGUGCUUGCACCGAGAUUCAACAUGGAACGAGUGGCGGACGGGUGAGUAACACGUGGGUAACCUGCCCUUAAGUGGGGGAUAACAUUUGGAAACAGAUGCUAAUACCGCAUAGAUCCAAGAACCGCAUGGUUCUUGGCUGAAAGAUGGCGUAAGCUAUCGCUUUUGGAUGGACCCGCGGCGUAUUAGCUAGUUGGUGAGGUAAUGGCUCACCAAGGCGAUGAUACGUAGCCGAACUGAGAGGUUGAUCGGCCACAUUGGGACUGAGACACGGCCCAAACUCCUACGGGAGGCAGCAGUAGGGAAUCUUCCACAAUGGACGCAAGUCUGAUGGAGCAACGCCGCGUGAGUGAAGAAGGCUUUCGGGUCGUAAAACUCUGUUGUUGGAGAAGAAUGGUCGGCAGAGUAACUGUUGUCGGCGUGACGGUAUCCAACCAGAAAGCCACGGCUAACUACGUGCCAGCAGCCGCGGUAAUACGUAGGUGGCAAGCGUUAUCCGGAUUUAUUGGGCGUAAAGCGAGCGCAGGCGGUUUUUUAAGUCUGAUGUGAAAGCCCUCGGCUUAACCGAGGAAGCGCAUCGGAAACUGGGAAACUUGAGUGCAGAAGAGGACAGUGGAACUCCAUGUGUAGCGGUGAAAUGCGUAGAUAUAUGGAAGAACACCAGUGGCGAAGGCGGCUGUCUGGUCUGUAACUGACGCUGAGGCUCGAAAGCAUGGGUAGCGAACAGGAUUAGAUACCCUGGUAGUC
rnacentral:rRNA from 2 species